CUAAUUCCAGGUAAUUACCUAUUUUUAUUUCAGUUUGCUAUUUUAAUUUUUUUCUACUUAAUCUCAAAUAAACUCCAAUGACUAUUGUAUACAAGAUGGACAAAGCUAAUAUGCUUUGAAGGCUGCUCCUAAAGGAAUUUAUGAUGUUAUGGUUCUGAAUGCGAUGCAUGGAAGGAAAAUCUUGGGCAUAAAGAAAUUGAACACAAAAUAAAGCACUAUAAGGAAUUGGGAAAGAGUAAUGGUAAAGACGGUGCACAAUAUUCUGCUGGUUUUGAAAAGCAUUAAAAGGAUUUCAUUUGGGCUAAUCUUUAAUAAAAGACGGUGAUGUUUGCACGUUUGUUUUUCUCGAUGAUGAAGGUACGUUGGUCCUAACAAUAAUCUCCAAAUAACACCUCCUUUACCGCAAGACAGAGACUUUUGAUCCAUUACGGAUAGUUCCUUUUGGUUGGUGUUGUUUAUAAGUAAUAGCGGGUAUCACCUAUAACU